rnacentral:rRNA from 1 species
UACGAAGGGGGCUAGCGUUGUUCGGAAUUACUGGGCGUAAAGCGCGCGUAGGCGGUGAUCUUUGUCAGAGGUGAAAGCCUGGGGCUCAACUCCAGAAUUGCCUUUGAAACGGGAUCGCUUGAGUCCGAGAGAGGAUGGCGGAAUUCCUAGUGUAGAGGUGAAAUUCGUAGAUAUUAGGAAGAACACCGGUGGCGAAGGCAGCUCGCUGGGACGUGACUGACGCUGAGACGCGAAAGCGUGGGGAGCAAACAGG